rnacentral:rRNA from 1 species
UACAGAGGUCCCAAGCGUUGUUCGGAUUCACUGGGCGUAAAGGGUGCGUAGGUGGUCGGGUAAGUCUGAUGUGAAAUCCCACGGCUCACCCGUGGAACUGCUUGGUAUACUGGGUGUCUUGAGCCACUUAGGGGCUACCGGAACAAAUGGUGGAGCGGUGAAAUGCGUAGAUAUCAUUUGGAACGCCAAUGGUGAAAACAGGUAGCUGGGAGUGUGCUGACGCUGAGACACGAAAGCCAGGGGAGCAAACGGG